AACGAACGUUGGCGGCCUGGAUUAGGCAUGCAAGUUGAGCGUACCCAGCAAUGGGGAGCAGCGUAAGGGGCAGUAAGGCAUGGGUAUCUACCCGGGGAUCGGGCAUAGCCUGUAGAAAUACAGGGUAAUUCCCGAUGAUGUCGCAAGACCAAAGCUCCGGCGUCCCUGGAGGAGCCCAUGUGAUAUUAGCUAGUUGGUGGGGUAACGGCCCACCAAGGCGAAGAUGUCUAGCGGGNGUGAGAGCACGACCCGCGCCACUGGCACUGAGACACUGGCCAGACACCUACGGGUGGCUGCAGUCGAGGAUCUUCGGCAAUGGGCGCAAGCCUGACCGAGCGAGGCCGCGUGGGCGACG
rnacentral:rRNA from 1 species